rnacentral:lncRNA from 1 species
CGCAGGGACCAGUGUAGCUAUCUGUUAGCUGCAUGGGUGGGGGCGGCGGGGCAUGGGCCGGGCCAGCAGCAGGUUUUGUCUUCCAGGGCUGAUGACCAGUGUUCCCCAAGCCCAGAUCAGCGCAGCGCCCCUCGCAGGACAAGGGCGACAGACCCACGGUCCUCCUUCUGUGCUGGGCAGGACCAAGCAACAGGACAGAGGUCCAUCCAGCCUGGGACAGCCUUUCCUUGUGGGACACAGCUCCAGUCCUCCCUUUGUUUUGAAUAAUUUAUUACUUUUUAUGGUGGUAAGAUAUACAUACAUAAAAGCUACCUUUGAAUUUUUGUUUUUGUUUUGGUUUUGUACCAGGGAUUGAACCCAGGGGCGCUUAACCACGAAGCCACAUCCCAGCCCCUCCCCCCCUUUUUUAGAGCCUUGCUAAGUUGCUGAGAAAGGCUGGCCUCCAACUUUCAAUCCUCCUGUCUCAGCCUCCUGAGCUGCCUGAUUACAGUUGUGUGCCAUCACUCCUGGGCCUUUGAAUUGUUUUUAAGCGUGGCAUUAAGGGUAUUCACGUCAUUGUGCAACUAUCACUACCAUCAGGCCAUGGAACUCUUCAUUUUGCAAAACUGAAGCCCUAUCCCCACGAAACACUGUCCCAUUUCCUGCUCCCUCCAGUCUGUGCUCCUUCACCCUACUUUCUGCAUCUGUGAAUUAAGUUCAUAGAGGGACUUGACCUCUGAUGAAUGGAAUCUUGCAGUAUUCGUCCUCUUGUGAUGGACUCUUGUCACUUAUAGUGUUUCAAACUUUAUCCUUGUAGUAGCAGAUGUCAGGAUGCCUUUCCUUUUCACAGCUGAGUAAUAUUCCAUUGUGUGGAGAGACUCCAUUUCAUUUAUACAUUUACCCAUCUGUGGACACUGGGUAACUGCAUUUUUAAAAAUUUUAUUUAUUUAUUUAUUUUGAUACUAGGGAUUAAACUCAGGGGCACUUGACCACUGAGCAACAUCCCCACCCCUAUUUUGUAUUUUAUUUAGAGACAGGGUCUCAUUAUUUUACUUAGGGCCUCCCCGUAGCUGAGGCUGGCUUUGAACUUGUGAUCCUCCUGCCUCAGCCUCCCGAGCUGCUGGGAUAACAGGAGUGCUGCCUUUUUGCAGUUGCCAAUCAUGCAGCAACGAACAUGGGUGAAUUCCAGUUCUUUUAUAAAAAUUCUCGUUCCUCUAUUUCCUCCCCCACCCUUGGUAAGUUAUUUUUUCAGAAAAUAACUGGUGACCAAAAAGCAGGGGUGCAAAGCUUGCAAGUGACGUGGGGAAGUCCCUCCGUCAGACUUCAGACCCACAAACAUCCCAUCUGUCUCUUCUCAGAAGAGGCUUGUGUCUGGUGGCCGCAUGUCCCUGUUUGCCCAGGAUGGUCUCGGGUCACACCUGUUGUCUCCGUGUAAAUAUUCAUGGUACAACUUUGCACUCUCAGGAGGAUCCUGAAAUUCUACGUCCCCACUGUUUGGGGCACUUUCAGUGUGAAUUAGGGUGGAAGGCAGUGGUUCUUCAUGGGGGGGUUUGCUUCCCAGGGGACAGGUGGCAACGUGUAGAGACAUUUUCAAUGUCAGCAUGAGCAGCUAGAGACCAGGGGUGCUGCUGAGCACCCUACAGAGCACAGCACAGCCCCCCACUCCCCAAAGAAGUACCUGGCCCAAGGUCCACCUCGCAAGGAAGAAGGGAGAGAAGGAGAGGAAGUGGACGUUGGCCAGAUGACCGGAGGACAGAGAAAAGGAGACGAGCUGCCCCGAAAGAACCGCAGGCCUGCAGGCUCGGGGAUGGACUUGGCCUCCCUCCCGCCUCUGCUUGGAGCGUGGCCCCUUUUGAAAUCGCUCAGUCCAUCUCCAUCUCCCUCUGGGCAGAGCCGCUAACGCAAGCCCCUGGGUCUGAUGGAGAGCGAGCUCCUGGCGUGCAGAACCCUGAGCUCCCAGGCCACCUGCCAGCAUAGGUUGUCACCCCCACCCAGACCCCAGAGGUGGGAGGCACAGGGUGGGGGAGGGCACGGCCCAUGGUGAGCCCACUCCACCGACUUUAGAGUCACUGCCCGACGCCUCCAUUGAUAUUCCCAGAACACCCAAAUGACGUGAGGCUGUUCCAGGUCCUGUGCGGUGCAUUGAACAGCAUCUGGGUCACUGAUGGAAUGCAGAGGAGACUGGGUCCUGUCCUCUUCUGUCCCUGUGCGGGCACGUUCCAGCACCAGAUUACGUCACGGUCCUGGUCGUGAGUGAGCCACUCACCCGUCUGGUCUGAGCUCAAUUUGCAAAUGCCACCCCCUGCCCCCCACCGUGGGCUCCUGUAAAUAUUCAUCAAAAAUGAGGUCAGAUGAAGCAGCGGACUUCAGCUAAGGAUCAUUAUUAACACAAACCGCAGCCUUGUCCCCACCUGGGGAGGGCGGAUGACAAUACGGUCAAGGGCGGGCCAAGAAUCACAUUUCAAGAGCUUAGGAGAAAUCAGGCAGUGCUUAAGUGAAAUCAGGCAGCACUUAAGUGAAAUCAGGCUGCAGGAAGGGGCACAAGAUGUUAAUGGCGAGGGGGACCCUGUGCCCAGUGACUGAUGGCGCUCUUCCUUAGGAACCUCACUGCCCCCACCGACUCCAUCAUGGUCAUUUCCCUAAGUACAGUGGCGACGGGUGAGAAAUCUUUAUGUCAAUAAACAAUAUUUGCCAACCACAUUUUCUUCAUCGUGUUAAUUUGGUCAGCCCACCUAGAAGGCUGGCUUACCUACUGAUGAACUGGAAAAUCAAAAUGACCACAGAAUUCACCUCCCGUCAGGGGAAAAGGGACUGCGGAAAUACCGAGCAUUAUUUUCAUUAGUCCAUAGGUCACACAUGAGCAGCUUCUACCGUCCGGGGUUUAUGGGUCCUGGUGUGGAUCUUGGGACUCUGGGGAGGGGGAGGGGGAGCUGCCUCAGUUACAGAGAAAAUAGAUGACUAGCCUGGUGCUAAUUAACCUCCCUUUAAUUGAUAAUUAAUUUUAAAACCUAUUUACUCUCCCUGGAACAGCUGAGACUUUAAAGAGACCACUGUGAAAACAAAUGGUGGAUAAAGUCUUCUCUCAGGAAAUGAGUGGGGCCUCCAGGGAGUGGGGAGAUCCGGCCCCUUGGACCAGUCAUCGUAUUAAAGGAUUGUGGAUGCUCAUGGAGGGGACAGACCAAAGUCACAGGGCAGUGACAGCCUUUCCAAUUCACUCUCUUUUCGGACACUGUCCCCACCCCAUUCCCUGGUAGGGUGACCAACUUGUCCCCAUUGCCUGGGACCAAGGAGUUCCCUGGACAUGUGGUUUUGGGUGCUAGAGAUGGGAUAUCUUCAGCCCCGCUUCCAAAGCCCCAAAUCCCUUGGGUGAAUUCAUUCCAAGGCUCAUCUCCCUGUCUCCAGGCAUUUGCCUUAGUUUCCCCUUGAUGCUGUCUGGCAACAUUCUCUGAUUUAAACCUUCCAGUGGAUUACCC